CAGCACCUUGGAGUGGUUUCACGGUGGUCAGGGGAUACCUAAGGAUCCUCGUAGCAAUGGUUAUAGUCAUCAAACUAAUAAUGAUUUUGUGUUGUUGUGAGAAAGUUUUUUCUGUGUUUCUAUAAUCCUUGUUAUGCCUCUUGCUUUUUGGAUACUAAGGGCUGGGAUGUUUGUUAUUAAUCUUCUUUGUUAUGCAGUGAAUAUAGAAAUUGAAAUGGACUUGAAGGAUGGGAUGAGGGAAAAGCAUAGUUCUUCACGCAUACAAGUAUUGGUUACUAUUACCCAGACCAAUCUAGUUUAUGCAACUUAUAUUACUUGAAAGAAAACAUCAUGAGUUAUGAUGGAAUGCAUAUGAAUGUAAUUAUUUACUAUAUGUACCUGCGAGAAUUAUUUGUGACAUAAAUAAUAUAUGAUGGGGAUGAAUGCAUGAUGAAUUGCUAACCUGGUGUUGGUGUCUCACUUACUGUUU
rnacentral:lncRNA from 1 species